rnacentral:rRNA from 1 species
AAUGGCGGGGGCGGGUCUAAUACAUGCAGUCGAGCGAACUGAUUAGAAGCUUGCUUCUAUGACGUUAGCGGCGGACGGGUGAGUAACACGUGGGCAACCUGCCUGUAAGACUGGGAUAACUUCGGGAAACCGAAGCUAAUACCGGAUAGGAUCUUCUCCUUCAUGGGAGAUGAUUGAAAGAUGGUUUCGGCUAUCACUUACAGAUGGGCCCGCGGUGCAUUAGCUAGUUGGUGAGGUAACGGCUCACCAAGGCAACGAUGCAUAGCCGACCUGAGAGGGUGAUCGGCCACACUGGGACUGAGACACGGCCCAGACUCCUACGGGAGGCAGCAGUAGGGAAUCUUCCGCAAUGGACGAAAGUCUGACGGAGCAACGCCGCGUGAGUGAUGAAGGCUUUCGGGUCGUAAAACUCUGUUGUUAGGGAAGAACAAGUACAAGAGUAACUGCUUGUACCUUGACGGUACCUAACCAGAAAGCCACGGCUAACUACGUGCCAGCAGCCGCGGUAAU